rnacentral:rRNA from 1 species
AGAAUCAACGCUGGCGGCGUGCCUAACACAUGCAAGUCGAACGAGAAAGUGGAGCAAUCCAUUAGUAAAGUGGCGCACGGGUGAGUAACACGUGACUAACCUACCCUUGAGUGGGGGAUAACCUAGGGAAACCUGGGCUAAUACCGCAUAAUACCUUCGGGUCAAAGGAGCAAUUCGCUUAAGGAGGGGGUCGCGGCCGAUUAGUUAGUUGGCGGGGUAAUGGCCCACCAAGACUGUGAUCGGUAU